rnacentral:misc_RNA from 1 species
AACGCACAUUGCGCCCCUCGGCAUUCCGGGGGGCAUGCCUGUCCGAGCGUCAUUACACCAUCAAGCACAGCUUGGCAAUGGGCGUCAGUCCGGGGUCCUCUCAGGGCCCAUGGGCGUGCCCCAAAGAAGUCGGCAGAGCCGGGUAGGACUCUCGAACGUAGCAAAGAACGGAAAGGCGUGAGCCCGACCAGACGUUUGAGACCUCCCCCUCGGGCCAUCAUACCAGACGCUUCGGCGUCCAAACAAAGGUUGACCUCGGAUCAGGUAGGGAUACCCGCUGAACUUAA